GUCCCAGCUGUCCUCUGCCUGACUGUAACUUGCUGUGUGACCUGAACAGGUCCCUUCCCCUCUCUGGGCCCUGGUCCCUUCAUCUAAUAUUCUGGAAGAAGUCGAUGGGAAGAACAUCUAUGGACAGUCUUCUGAGUGAUGCUCAGAACAAAGUUUAAAAUCAGGCAUUUUCACUUCAAACUUUUCCAUCCUUCUACCCUGAAGAGAGACAACCUGAAGUUUCAGCCCCCAGGGCAGGAGCCCCAGGGAUGUUCUGAAGACACCCAGGGUAGAAGCACUGUGUCAUUCAAGCAUUCCUGAUGGCUGGAGAGCCAUCCUCAAAGUGGCACUGGCAAAACAGGCCCCUGUAAUCAAGCCCAUCCUUGGCAACUCUUCACUGGAAACUCCUUUGACAUCCAUCAAGUUACUCUCUUCAUUAAUGCCUUAAUAAGUCUUCAGAAUCAAAGAACAACUUAAAAAUAAACAUAAUUUCAGAGGCCAGAGCCAAAAAAAGCC